rnacentral:rRNA from 1 species
AUUGAACGCUGGCGGCAUGCCUUACACAUGCAAGUCGAACGGCAGCACGGAGCUUGCUCUGGUGGCGAGUGGCGAACGGGUGAGUAAUAUAUCGGAACGUACCCUAGAGUGGGGGAUAACGUAGCGAAAGUUACGCUAAUACCGCAUACGAUCUAAGGAUGAAAGUGGGGGAUCGCAAGACCUCAUGCUCGUGGAGCGGCCGAUAUCUGAUUAGCUAGUUGGUAGGGUAAAAGCCUACCAAGGCAUCGAUCAGUAGCUGGUCUGAGAGGACGACCAGCCACACUGGAACUGAGACACGGUCCAGACUCCUACGGGAGGCAGCAGUGGGGAAUUUUGGACAAUGGGCGAAAGCCUGAUCCAGCAAUGCCGCGUGAGUGAAGAAGGCCUUCGGGUUGUAAAGCUCUUUUGUCAGGGAAGAAACGGUGAAAGCUAAUAUCUUUUGCUAAUGACGGUACCUGAAGAAUAAGCACCGGCUAACUACGUGCCAGCAGCCGCGGUAAUACGUAGGGUGCAAGCGUUAAUCGGAAUUACUGGGCGUAAAGCGUGCGCAGGCGGUUUUGUAAGUCUGAUGUGAAAUCCCCGGGCUCAACCCGGGAAUUGCAUUGGAGACUGCAAGGCUAGAAUCUGGCAGAGGGGGGUAGAAUUCCACGUGUAGCAGUGAAAUGCGUAGAUAUGUGGAGGAACACCGAUGGCGAAGGCAGCCCCCUGGGUCAAGAUUGACGCUCAUGCACGAAAGCGUGGGGAGCAAACAGGAUUAGAUACCCUGGUAGUCCACGCCCUAAACGAUGUCUACUAGUUGUCGGGUCUUAAUUGACUUGGUAACGCAGCUAACGCGUGAAGUAGACCGCCUGGGGAGUACGGUCGCAAGAUUAAAACUCAAAGGAAUUGACGGGGACCCGCACAAGCGGUGGAUGAUGUGGAUUAAUUCGAUGCAACGCGAAAAACCUUACCUACCCUUGACAUGGCUGGAAUCCUUGAGAGAUCAGGGAGUGCUCGAAAGAGAACCAGUACACAGGUGCUGCAUGGCUGUCGUCAGCUCGUGUCGUGAGAUGUUGGGUUAAGUCCCGCAACGAGCGCAACCCUUGUCGUUAGUUGCUACGAAAGGGCACUCUAAUGAGACUGCCGGUGACAAACCGGAGGAAGGUGGGGAUGACGUCAAGUCCUCAUGGCCCUUAUGGGUAGGGCUUCACACGUCAUACAAUGGUACAUACAGAGCGCCGCCAACCCGCGAGGGGGAGCUAAUCGCAGAAAGUGUAUCGUAGUCCGGAUUGUAGUCUGCAACUCGACUGCAUGAAGUUGGAAUCGCUAGUAAUCGCGGAUCAGCAUGUCGCGGUGAAUACGUUCCCGGGUCU